rnacentral:rRNA from 1 species
CUGCAGCCCGAGUGGUGAUCGAUUUUAUUGAGCCUAAAGCGUCCGUAGCCGGACUAGUAAACCCUUGGGUAAAUUGGGCAGCUUAACUGUCCAAAUUCCGAGGGGACUGCUAGUCUUGGGACCGGGAGAGGUCAGAGGUACUCAAGGGGUAGGGGCUAAAUCCUGUAAUCCUUUGGGGACCACCAGUGGCGAAGGCGUCUGACUAGAACGGCUCCGACGGUAAGGGACGAAACCCUGGGGCGCGAACCGGAUUAGUUACCCGAGUAGUCC